GACAGAGGGUGCAAACGUUGCUCGGAAUUACUGGGCGUAAAGCGCGUGUAGGUGGUUUGGUGUGUCAGAUGUGAAAUCCCUGGGCUCAACCCAGGAACUGCACCUGAAACUACCAGUCUUGAGUGGUGGAGAGGGAAGUGGAAUUCCUGGUGUAGAGGUGAAAUUCGUAGAUAUCAGGAGGAACACCAGUGGCGAAGGCGGCUUCCUGGACACCAACUGACGCUGAGACGCGAAAGCGUGGGGAGCAAACAGG
rnacentral:rRNA from 1 species